CUUCCAAAGUUUGCAAAUUUUGUAUACUUUUGUAUUGCAAUUUUCGCAUGCAAUACAAAAGUAUACAAAAUUUGCAAACUUUGGAAGGCUAU
rnacentral:miRNA from 1 species